UUGCGCGAUUAAAUGANCCGAUGUCGGAUUAGCUAGUUGGCGGGGUAAAGGCCCACCAAGGCGACGAUCCNUAGCUGGUCUGAGAGGAUGAUCAGCCACACUGGAACUGAGACACGGUCCAGACUCCUACGGGAGGCAGCAGUGGGGAAUAUUGGACAAUGGGCGCAAGCCUGAUCCAGCCAUGCCGCGUGGGUGAAGAAGGCCUUCGGGUUGUAAAGCCCUUUUGUUGGGAAAGAAAAGCACGGGGCUAAUACCCUUGUGUUCUGACGGUACCCAAAGAAUAAGCACCGGCUAACUUCGUGCCAGCAGCCGCGGUAAUACGAAGGGUGCAAGCGUUACUCGGAAUUACUGGGCGUAAAGCGUGCGUAGGUGGUGAUUUAAGUCCGUUGUGAAAGCCCUGGGCUCAACCUGGGAAUUGCAGUGGAUACUGGGUCACUAGAAUG
rnacentral:rRNA from 1 species